GACGUAGGGCGCGAGCGUUGUCCGGAUUUAUUGGGCGUAAAGAGCUCGUAGGCGGCUCAUUGCGUCAAUCGUGAAAUCCUGUGGCUCAACUACAGGCUUGCGGUUGAUACGGGUGGGCUGGAGUUCGGUAGGGGAGACUGGAAUUCCUGGUGUAGCGGUGAAAUGCGCAGAUAUCAGGAGGAACACCGGUGGCGAAGGCGGGUCUCUGGGCAGUAACUGACGCUGAGGAGCGAAAGCGUGGGGAGCGAACAGG
rnacentral:rRNA from 1 species